GGAAGGCAGCCGUAGUAGCAGAUGAAGUCAGAAAGGAAAUAGGAGCUCCACACCAUUAGAAUAUGAUUUCCAAAUUGUUACUUUCAAGUCCUCUCUUGGAAAGAGGUACCAUAUUAUAAAUGGCAUUUCUUAGCAUUUUCUUUUUUUUCUGUUGUGUCCUCAAAUAAGUGGACUGAGACACAUGUACCUUGGCUUAUGACCAGAAAAAAAAAAUGAUGUUUACAGAAACAUUUUCUGAUUGAAUAGAUCAGUCGUUGUCAUCAAAAAUCAACUUGGCAAGUAUUCUUAUCAACUUGCUGGAAAUACUGUUUACAAAUUACUUGUUAUGAUUCUCUCACUCAAAGGAAUUUUUAAACCAGUGGGGCGAAUUGGCUAGUUCUCUUGUUUUCUCUGAAUGUAGAAAAAAGUAUGAUAAAAUUCAGUGGGGGAGUGUGAUGGUUAAUUUUAGGUGUCAACUUGACUAGAUUAAAGGAUACUCAAAUAGCUGGUAGAGCAUUAUUUCUGGGUAUGUCUGUGAGGCUGUUUCCAGAAGAGGUUGGCAUUUGAAUCAGUGGGCUGAGUAAGGAAGAUCCGCCCUCACCCAUCGUGGGCGGGCAUGAGCCAAUUGGCUGAGGGCCGGGAUAGAACAAAAAGGCAGGGGAAAGGCAAAUUACCUUUUUUUCUCCUAGAGCUAAGACACCUUUUUCUCCUAACAUUGGACAUUAGAAUUUCAGGUUCUCUGACCUUUGGAUUCCAGGACUUUCACCAGCAGCCCAUCAAGGUUUUAGACCUUUGACCUUGGACUGUUAUGCCAUUGGCUUCCCUGGUCCUGAGGCUGUGGGAUUUGGACUGAGCCACUCUACCAGCUUCUCUGGUUGUCCAGCUUGCAGACAGCCCACCAUGAGACUUCCAAGCCUCCAUAAUUACGAUACAUGAUGUAUUUUCUUCCUUUGCAAAAAAACUACAAAAUGGAAGCCAUUCUUUCAAAGACAAAUGUUUGAUGCACAUAGAUUGAAUUUAUGCUCUGCCACCCUGUUUUUAUGCCAGGCCGAUUAUACAAGGUCACUUUCUUUCAAUGUCCAAUUAUUCAAAGUAAUCAUUUAGAAGACUUUUAAAUGACAAACUCAAAAUGUACAGAACCGUCGAGGUACAUAACUUGAAAUCAUUACACUAUCCGUAACUGUCAGACUAUAAGUAUGAAAUGUAUCCUUAUUUAAGAAAUAUUAAAAUGUGAAAAAUGUGCAUUUUAGCACUGGUGUAAUGUAUGUUAAGUUUGUAUGUUAAAUUUUUAUUAACAAAUGGAUAUGCACAAUAAAAAAUGUUUGGAGAACAUUGGCUUAUAUUGCCAGCAGAUUAUUUAAUGAAAAUAAUAAAUGGAUUCAUUUAUUAGUAUACUUCUCUAGUUCAUGUUAAAGAUUACUUAAAAGAACCUACACUUUGGGAAGCCAAGGCAGGUGGAUAGCUUAAGCCUCAGGAGUUUGAGACCAACCUGGGGAACAUGGUGAAACCUGGUGUCUCUACAACAAAUUUAAAAAAUUAGCUCGGAGUGGAGGUGUACAUCUGCAGUCCCAGCUGCUCAUGAGGUUGAGGUGGGAGGAUCAACUAAGACCAGGGAGGUUGAGGCUGCAGUGAGCUGUGAUUGCACCACUGCUCUCCAGCCUGGGUGACAAAGUGAGACUUUGUCUCAAGAAAAAAAAAAAAGAAAAAAAAAAGACCCAAAUAUGAGGUAAAAUAAGGCAGACCUAACUAACAGGGAGCCCAGAUGUUAUUAAAUGCCAUUUGUGAAAGAAUUCCACAUAUCUUGUUGAGUCUGAAUAAUUCUUACAGACCAUUAUGGCUUGGUCUCAUAAUCUACCCACUCUUUAACAAAACUUUCACCACAAAAUAUUAUCUACUUGCCUAUUUGUUCUAUUUAUUGUUUUUCCUGCCUUUGGUAUAUUCUUAAUAUCAAAUUAUAUACAAAUAAGAAAUUCUAUUGCCACUUUAAAGCACCACAGUUAUGUAAGACCCAAAAUCUUAUGGUCAAACCGUCUUUAUGUCAAUUGAUUAACAUAUAUAUCAUUUUUUUCUUUUUUGAGAUGGAGUCUCACUCUGUCACCAGGCUGGAGUGCAGUGGCACAAUCUUGGCUCACUGCAACCUACACCUCCCUGGUUCAAGUGAUUCUUCUGCCUCAGCCUCCCGAGUAGCUGGGACUACAGGCGCUGGCCACCACGCCUGGCUAAUUUUUUUUUUUUUUUUUUUUUUUUUAGUAGAGACAGGGUUUCACCAUGUUAGCCAGGAUGGUCUCGAUCUCUAGACCUUGUGAUCCACCCACCUCAGCCUCCCAAAGUGCUGGGAUUACAGGUGUGAGCCACUGCACCCGGCCACAUAUAUUUCAUUUUUAACUUGAGUUAUGUUUUUCUUUUGUCACUGGCCUAAUUUUUAAAUAAAUACAAAAAACGUAAGUAAGAAAAAUAUGUAAGAGGGAAUUAUUACGUUUUAGUAUUUUUACACUCAUUAAGCAAAAAAUAACUUUUUUGAUUCAUAAAAAAGUGGCCUGCAAAACAACUUUCCUACCUUGCUUGUCAUUAAAUAUGUUAAAUAUAAAUAGCUCUGUUAGUGAUAGAAAUUCCUUAGAGAGGAUCUACAUUUUUCUUGAACUCAAAUUUUACUCAAAUAUAUUUUACCUAAAACCUACUUAGCAACGGUUUUUGUUUUUAGUUUUUUUUUCUCAGAAUGUUUAAGUGAAUUCUAAUGUGAGUUAGGAACUCUUUUAUAAAUCAUACUCUCACCCUGACAAUGAAAUAAACAAACUACAUGCUUUUCAUCUCAACUGGCACCUUCAAGUACUGAGCUCAGAAACUGUAAUUAAAAAUCAUUUAAAACACUCAUUUCACAGUUUACUCGUGGGAAGAAGCACAUAUUGUUCCAAUUCCAUUCCUAAAAAAGCCUCCCACACUAUCACUGAGAAAUUUUCAAAGGUCAUGAUUGAAGUAAGCACCUACCUUGUUUUGCACGUGACUUAUGUCACAUGUACUUCUAAAUUAUAUCAUCAGUCUCAUUUCUGUUUCCUAGAGACAGGCGCAUGUUACUUCCUGAAUUCCAGUGCAGAUUUUAAACCUUAUCUCUUUGAAAGUUCUCCCCAAAUUAAACAGUAAAAAGUAAAGACUCUGAACUUCAGUAUAUGGCUUGGCAAUCCAUUCUUCCCCCUACAUGGUUAUUAAUCUCAUCCAAAG
rnacentral:lncRNA from 10 species